UUGCAGAGCACUUGUCCACGAUCUUCACCUCUCAGACCGUCGGAUGUCAGUGGUGCGGCGGUUUUGUGGAGAAACUGCGCGUCCUGCCCCGGAGCAACCCAAACAUUAUUCCUUACGGCAGCGGCCAUAAAAGCAGAGGUAUACUCUAGAUAUUUGGCUCAGCAGCGGAAAAGAAUCAGUAAUCCAACCUCCAGCCCUCUUGAGAUCACAGUGACAGCAGC